rnacentral:rRNA from 1 species
GCGAGCUGAUCCAGCCAUGCCGCGUGUGUGAAGAAGGCCUUCGGGUUGUAAAGCACUUUCAGCGAGGAAGAACGCCUUGGGAUUAAUACUCCCGAGGAAAGACAUCACUCGCAGAAGAAGCACCGGCUAACUCCGUGCCAGCAGCCGCGGUAAUACGGAGGGUGCAAGCGUUAAUCGGAAUUACUGGGCGUAAAGCGCGCGUAGGUGGCUAAGUCAGCCAGGUGUGAAAGCCCCGGGCUCAACCUGGGAACGGCAUCUGGAACUGCUUGGCUAGAGUGCAGGAGAGGAAGGUAGAAUUCCCGGUGUAGCGGUGAAAUGCGUAGAGAUCGGGAGGAAUACCAGUGGCGAAGGCGGCCUUCUGGACUGACACUGACACUGAGGUGCGAAAGCGUGGGUAGCAAACAGGAUUAGAUACCCUGGUAGUCCACGCCGUAAACGAUGUCAACUAGCCGUUGGGUCCCUUGAGGACUUAGUGGCGCAGCUAACGCAAUAAGUUGACCGCCUGGGGAGUACGGCCGCAAGGUUAAAACUCAAAUG